rnacentral:lncRNA from 1 species
GUUGAAAGUUUUAUCAUUUUUAAAGAUGGCAUGGCAAAUUCUUGGAGAGAAAAUUGGGAUUUUGGACUUUCAAAAUUAAAUGGAGAAAAGUGAAAGGAUAGAAAACCUCCCCUUAAUAGUUUUGAUUCCAUUGUGGUUGAAGGAGAUUUUGCUCUUAGUUGCUUUUGUUCACUUUCUUCCACUUCUUUUCUUUCAAUUUCUUCUUUGUCUUCUCUUUCUUUCGCUUUUAUUCUCUCUUCCUCUUUUCUUCCCUCUUUUUCUCUUUCCUCUUCCUCUCUUUUUCUUCUCUCUUCUUCUCUUUUCUCUUCCUCUCUUUUUAUUCUCUCUAAUUCUAUUAUUCUUUGAUCUUCUUCUUUCAACUUUCUUUCUUUUUCUCUUUCAUCCCUUUUCCUUUUUAAGGCGCAUUUAUGUUUGAUCCUCCG